UAUUAUCUAGAGUCCCGACCGGUACCCGUCCUACCUGAAACACCCUCAAAUUUUAUUCGAGGUGAACUCUCUCAAAUUCCCUAUCGGUGAAUACAUGUGAGUGGUGAAAAAAAGCAAAAUGGGGGAUUUCCCUUAUAAAGAAAUGUAUGGAAAUUUUGUGACCUGUCAAAAAUUACAAUCAAUUUUGCAAAACAAAACAAUGGGUUUCGGAUUUUAAGAACCAAAAAUCUUCAUAAUGAAGAGAGGAUAUACAAGUUCACUUAAUUAAAUAAAAAAUGCUGCCAAUAACAUACUAUAAUGCAGGAAGCAUUUUCCUUGAAGAAAUCUGGGAGACAAAGCAACAAGAUUGUGUUCUCAAUGUCCAUAGCUGCCGCAGGUGUUUACGGUGGAGGUGUCGCCAUCAAAAACCAUCAGCAAAAACACCACCAAGUCAAUGAUACAAGUACAAGAAGAAGUUUUGCCAUGCAAUAGUCGACCGCUAACGCCCUUUUCGAUCAAUUUCGUAAGUACGUAUCGAAACAGUCAUAUCGUUGCCAACUAGCUUAAUCCUCAUCUUCUAGGUGUAAAGAGUACUACCAGAGACGCAAGAAAAGCAAGGACUUGCAUACAUUGCGAUCUUUCGCCUAUCCGUAGCUGGCUCAAAGAAGUGCUUUGCAUUGCAAAGAUGGUGGCACAUUACGUGAAUGUGCUACUGCUUUCACACGCUGCAAUUAAUUCAACUUGUAUUUGUAUUUGGCUUGGCUAUAAAUGACCACCAAGUAAAGAGAUUCCUCAACUUUAUAACAACUCUCGACUUGUAU